rnacentral:rRNA from 1 species
GACGAACGCUGGCGGCGUGCUUAACACAUGCAAGUCGAACGGAAAGGCCCUGCUUUUGUUGGGUGCUCGAGUGGCGAACGGGUGAGUAACAUGAGAGUAACCUGCCCUUGACUUUGGGAUAACUUCAGGAAACUGGGGCUAAUACCGGAUAGGAGCUCCUGCUGCAUGGUGGGGGUUGGAAAGUUUCGGCGGUUGGGGAUGGACUCGCGGCUUAUCAGCGUGUUGGUGGGGUAGUGGCUUACCACGGCUUUGACGGGUAGCCGGCCUGAGAGGGUGACCGGCCCGAUUGGGACUGAGAUACGGCGCAGACGCCUACGGGAGGGAGCAGUGGGGAAUAUUGCACAGUGGGCGGAAGCCUGAUGCAGCAGCGCCGCGUGCGGGAUGACGGCCUUCGGGUUGUAAACCGCUUUCGCCUGUGACGAAGGGUGAGUGACGGUAAUGGGUAAAGAAGCACCGGCUAACUACGUG